rnacentral:rRNA from 1 species
UACGGAGGGAGCUAGCGUUGUUCGGAAUUACUGGGCGUAAAGCGCACGUAGGCGGCUAUUCAAGUCAGAGGUGAAAGCCCAGGGCUCAACCUUGGAACUGCCUUUGAAACUAGAUAGCUAGAAUCCUGGAGAGGCGAGUGGAAUUCCGAGUGUAGAGGUGAAAUUCGUAGAUAUUCGGAAGAACACCAGUGGCGAAGGCGGCCUACUGGUCCGGCACUGACGCUGAGGUGCGAAAAGCGUGGGGGAGCAAACAGG